GUGUUUUGUGAGGUCAUCAGCGAUGGACAUGACCAAUGGAAAGCGACGGCCAGAAUUUCCCUGUGCCUUCAGCGCAAACGAUCCGCACUCCCCCUAGAAACUUACACAGGUAAAGAGUACUGUGUCUCAUUCAAACCGCAGGGUCGUCCUUCUUAGGCAAGGCAAGACAAGGGAAUAGCGAAAAAAAUUAUGGAGGAAAAGAAAGCCGCUGCUUACUACGACGAGCUAACACGCAAAGGGAAAGGCGCUGCCAGGUUCAAACAAGGUCUCGGCUACAACUCCAAUCCCCUUUCUUCCUCAUCGUCCUCCUCCUCCUUCCUUACCACCUUCGUUCCCGCUUCUUCUUCCACCCCCGAAUUACAGAAACAGACUCAGCUCCUUCAUUCCAUCCAAAACAAACUCAGUAAAAAUAAACACACCCCCUCGAGCAGCAGCGACCGUAAUAUAGGGCAUUCGCGUCGUACUAGGGAAGAGGAAGAAGAAGAGGAAAGGAAUGAUUUGUCUAGGAGUCGAGAUAGGUACAGAGAAGGGAGAGAUGGAUCGUCGAGGAGGAGUACGGAGAGAAAUGGGCGAGACACUGCUCGUCGUCCGCACUUCCGAAGCAGGGAUGAAGAGGAAAGCCCUACCUCACUAGGAGAGGGAAAACAUCACCACAGGAGUGGCAGCAGAAGGAGAAGUAGGAGCUUAUCACCUCCGUCUAUAAGAUCAGAAAGGAGCAGAGGUGACAGAGUCAAAGGUACAAGUGAGAAGAAUCUCUCAAAGAGGACGAACUCCAAGGACAGGAAUACUGGUGGGAUUGACUAUUCACAACUCAUCGAGGGCUAUGCCGAAAUGACACCAUCAGAAAGAGUCAAAGCAAAGAUGAAGCUUCAGCUUUCCCAAACUGUUGCAAAGGACACAAUCAAGGGCAUGGGCAGUGGAUGGGAACGCUUUGAUUUCAACAAGGAAGCCCCGAUUGAUGAUGAGGAGAUCGAAGUGGCAGAAGAUGAUGCAGCGUUGGUCAAAGAUUUGGGGCGAAGUUUCCGGUUUUCUGCAGUGGAGGCAAAGCGGGAAGCAGAAAUCAAGGCUGCUCAUGACGAGGCCAUAUUUGGAUCAUCGGCAGCUUCACCCAUUGUUAAAGAAGAGGUUUCUGCUGAAGAUAACAUAGUGAAAGAGAGCACUGAAUCUUGCAGGAACCUCAUGAGCGACCAGGUGCUUUCCAUGCAACAAGGUUCUUGGCGUGAUCGAGCCCGUAAACUUCGGGAUGGAUCGAACGGCUGAAUAUUGGGCAAGGUUCAACCUUGCCAAACUGUACAUAUGCUGUGGCGUCACUGGCGUGUUUUCAAGCAUUACAUUCGGCAUCAUCUAAUGCGGGCCCAUAUGCUAAUGACAAAGUCUCGUUCCAGAAACUGCCACAGGCCAUUUUAUGAAGAGGAGGUUAUAAUGCAUGCACCAUAGUUCUAUGAAACCGCAUCCACAUUGUAAUAAUGUAUUCAACUAUUAUGGUGCGUCAGACAGUUGAUCUGGUGGACCACCAUGUGGGAACCUACUGCUGACCAAAGGUAAUGUGAUGGUACAAUUUGGGUCAUUGUAACGAGUCAGUCCUGUUGAAUGUGGACCUUUGCAGUUUGUUUAUUUAAUAUUAUUGUUAUUAUUAUUAUUAUUUUUUAAGUCAA